UCCUUGCGAAACAGAAGAGAAGAAAAAAUCAGGCCUGUGAAUCAAUAGAAGAAGAAGGAAUGAAUACAAGUGAAGUUCCAUUGAAUUUGACAACUUGUAUUCAUCACGGUCGGGAAAUUGGAACUGAAGAUAGUGUAAUGGCUCAGGGUUCACAAGAAAUCACAAAGCUUAUUGCAGCUGGGACGGAGAAGUUGGCAUUAGCACCUGAUGGUGGUGGCACUUUUGAUUGUGCUACAAGUUUCAACCUCUUCAACUAGGCGAUUGAACAUGCUGUUUUGUUUCUUUUUGAAAGCACUACUCUUUUUUGUUCAACUAGUGCUUUUAGUAGAUGAUACUACCUUUUGAGUAUGUAGUUGUCUAAUGGUAGUGUACAGUUUUUGUAGUAUCAAUUAGUUGGAAUGGUGUAUAGUUUUUGUAAGUAUGGAAUAGUUGGAAUGGUGUAUGGUUUUUGUAAGUACUGAACUUGUGGAAUGAUUUUUGUAUGGUUUUAUUAAGCGUUGAAUAGAUGGACGCCACUUUCGACUACAAGAG